rnacentral:rRNA from 1 species
AUUGAACGCUGGCGGCAGGCCUAACACAUGCCAGUCGAACGGUAACAGGAGGAAGCUUGCUUCUUUGCUGACGAGUGGCGGACGGGUGAGUAAUGUCUGGGAAACUGCCUGAUGGAGGGGGAUAACUACUGGAAACGGUAGCUAAUACCGCAUAACGUCGCAAGACCAAAGAGGGGGACCUUCGGGCCUCUUGCCAUCGGAUGUGCCCAGAUGGGAUUAGCUAGUAGGUGGGGUAACGGCUCACCUAGGCGACGAUCCCUAGCUGGUCUGAGAGGAUGACCAGCCACACUGGAACUGAGACACGGUCCAGACUCCUACGGGAGGCAGCAGUGGGGAAUAUUGCACAAUGGGCGCAAGCCUGAUGCAGCCAUGCCGCGUGUAUGAAGAAGGCCUUCGGGUUGUAAAGUACUUUCAGCGGGGAGGAAGGGAGUAAAGUUAAUACCUUUGCUCAUUGACGUUACCCGCAGAAGAAGCACCGGCUAACUCCGUG